rnacentral:rRNA from 1 species
GUGGGGAAUCUUGCGCAAUGGGCGAAAGCCUGACGCAGCCAUGCCGCGUGAAUGAUGAAGGUCUUAGGAUUGUAAAAUUCUUUCACCGGGGACGAUAAUGACGGUACCCGGAGAAGAAGCUCCGGCUAACUUCGUGCCAGCAGCCGCGGUAAUACGAAGGGGGCUAGCGUUGCUCGGAUUUACUGGGCGUAAAGGGCGCGUAGGCGGACAUUUAAGUCAGGGGUGAAAUCCCGGGGCUCAACCUCGGAACUGCCUUUGAUACUGGGUGUCUUGAGUAUGAGAGAGGUGUGUGGAACUCCGAGUGUAGAGGUGAAAUUCGUAGAUAUUCGGAAGAACACCAGUGGCGAAGGCGACACACUGGCUCAUUACUGACGCUGAGGCGCGAAAGCGUGGGGAGCAAACAGGAUUAGAUACCCUGGUAGUCC